AUAUAUAUAUACACAUAUAUUUCUUUUGGUACAUUCAAAAUUCACAGUCUAUCCAGGCAUCAUGAUCUGAGUUUUCUCUUCUCAAUACUCAUAAAUCCUGAAAGACAGAAAAAUAAUACCAAUGGAUGAGAAAGAAGAAGAUAUAUUUGCAGAGAAGAUAAUUGGCAAAACCAUGUGUGAAGCAGCUGAUGAAGGAAGCUUGAUUGAAGUUCAACUUGCCAUGGAUCGAAAAGAAGGCAUCAAUAUACAAGACCCACAAAAUGGAGAUUCUGCCUUGAUGAAAGCAAUUAAAGGUGGGUACAAAGAGAUUGCUCAAGUAUUGUUGGAUGUUGGAGCCAAUGUAAAGUUGGCUAAUGUGUAUGGAGACACAGCAUUGCAUUGGGCUGUAGUGUACAAGAGGAUUUGGAGAUAUUGUUGAAGAACUUAUUCACCGAGGUGCAAAUAUAGAUGCAAUAGGAGAAUACAAAAACACUCCAUUACAUUUGGCAUGUAGUAAUAAUCAUGAAGAAAUUGUUUCCUUAUUACUUAUGGAAGGAGCCAAUGUGACCUUUUGCAAUGAUUUUGGAAAUGAUGCUAUCAAAAUGUCCUCAGACCACAAAAUUAAAAUGAAGGUUGUAAUACACAACCAUUCAUUUCAAAAGAGAAAAAUAUAUAUAAAAAUAAGAACGAUUUCCUCUGCAUCAAUGUGUUGUAAAUAUACACAUGAAACAAUCUCCUUAAAGUAAGUAAACAAGUAAACACAACUUUAGAUUAAAUCAGUAAGAGACGAAGGAGAUGUUGCACGUCUGAAAUUGAAGAAAGAAUUGGAAGAAAAAAUAGAGGCUGAGCAAUUGGAAAAUACAUUAAUAAAGAUGAAAGAAGAGGAAGCAUACAAACAAAUGGUGGAAAGAGAAGCCUGGAUCAAAUCGAAAGUGGAUGAAGUAUUAGCUACAGAGAAAUGCAUUGAUGAAGAAGAAGCUGCAAUGGAAGUUGCAAGAUUAAUGCAACAAAAAGUCAUUGAAAAUGAGAGAAUUGCAAAUGAAAAAGCUGCUAGAAUGGAAAAGAAGAAAAAGAAAUCUAAUAAAGCAAAAAAACCAGCUAAAAAGAAGAAGAAAUAAUAUCCAGUCUCUCAUUA